rnacentral:rRNA from 1 species
CCAGACAGCCAGGAUGUUGGCUUAGAAGCAGCCAUCAUUUAAAGAAAGCGUAAUAGCUCACUGGUCGAGUCGGCCUGCGCGGAAGAUGUAACGGGGCUAAACCAUGCACCGAAGCUGCGGCAGCGACGCUGAUGCGUUGUUGGGUAGGGGAGCGUUCUGUAAGCCUGUGAAGGUGUGUCGUGAGGCAUGCUGGAGGUAUCAGAAGUGCGAAUGCUGACAUAAGUAACGAUAAAGCGGGUGAAAAGCCCGCUCGCCGGAAGACCAAGGGUUCCUGUCCAACGUUAAUCGGGGCAGGGUGAGUCGACCCCUAAGG